CCUACGGGUGGCAGCAGUGGGGAAUAUUGCACAAUGGGGGAAACCCUGAUGCAGCGACGCCGCGUGAGUGAAGAAGUAAUUCGUUACGUAAAGCUCUAUCAGCAGGGAAGAAAUACUGACCUUACGGUCAGCAGACGGUACCUGAGUAAGAAGCCCCGGCUCACAACGUGCCAGCAGCCGCGGUAAUACGUAGGGGGCAAGAGUUAUCCGGAUUUACUGGGUGUAACGGGAGCGUAUACGGUGCGCCAAGUCUGGAGUGAAAUGCCGCAGCUUAACUGCGGAACUGCUUUGGAAACUGGCGAACUAGAGUGCGGGAGGGGUAAGCGGAAUUCCUAGUGUAGCGGUGAAAUGCGUAGAUAUUAGGAGGAACACCGGUGGCGAAGGCGGCUUACUGGACCGUAACUGACGUUGAGGCUCGAAAGCGUGGGGAGCAAACAGGAUUAGAUACCCCUGUAGUC
rnacentral:rRNA from 1 species